rnacentral:snRNA from 1 species
GUGCUAGCUUUGGCAGCACAUAUACUAAAAUUGGAAGGAUAGAGAGAAAAUUAGCAUGGCCCCUGCGCAAGGAUGACACACAAAUUCAUGAAGCAUUCCAUAUUUUU